rnacentral:lncRNA from 1 species
CCACCCUCUGACAGUAGGGUUGGAGAGUAAAGCCAAAAUAAAAAGUUUGCUUGGUUUUUUCCAGGAACUGGUUAUAGUUUAAUAAAAUAAUUGAAAUAGUCUACAUAUCCCAGGCACUUGCGAGUACAUUUCUCUCGUUCUCCUUGCUCUUUGUGAGAAGGUGCCGGGGUGUGUGGCAGAGGCUGGUGUGGGCUCGUGGACAGGCUUCUCACUCCUUUGCUACUGCAGCAAUGCCUUGUCUCUGCUGCCUGUGAUCCCCAGGUCUGAGCUAAUCAGGGUCCAGUGUCCUCCCAUCUCUCCUGGGAGUGUGGACGCCUUGAGGUCUCAAGUGUGACUCCAGUUUGGUCCCCAGCCCAGACAGUCUGCCCUAAAGUCGUCCACUACAGAACACUUUUCUGCCAACCAUGCUGCAUCCAGCUAGAUUUAAAAAAUGAAGUCAUCAUUGGGAUAUUCACUGAGCACUGAUGCAUACUAUGGCAGACACUGUGGCUACAACACUGAAUAAGACUAUAAAAAAAUGAGUCUCCUGGUUUACAUCUGGAGUGGGACAUCUCAAAGUAGACAUGCACCUUUCAGAGAUUCUGAGGCUUCCUCAGCAGAGUAGCUGGAAAUAAGAACACCUGUUCUCCACUGAGUUUUGACACCUCUGAUCUGAGCAAACUAUACAAAAGUUGGAGAGAAAAAAACAGAAGAGGAUCCAAAACUGCCUUGAAAGUAAUUUUAAAAUGCAAAUUCCAACUAGAUCUUGAACAAUGCAAGUAUGUGGCAGAGACCGCUACCUGAUCACCAAAUUCAUUUCUUCUUCUUCCUGAGAAUACAGCUUGACUGGUUUUCCCAACUGCCCUGCACGUGACUGAGUUCUGAUGUACACUACUAUUAUUUAUGGCCCAUGACGACCUCCCACACAAGAUUCCUCAUGCUCUUUUCUGUUCAGUGAUGACUUUGGUGAAGAUGGUAGAACAUGAGAUGGAAGGAACCUGAGUCCCUCCUCACAACCAGAGGAGAGCUGAUGAGGAACAACAAUUUUGGAUUUUACAUGAAUGAAAAAUCAACAUCUCUUUUGUGAAGCCACUGAGAUUUUGGGAGUGUGGCUGUUCUGUAACCUUAGCUAGUAGCCAGUGUUACCUAAGUAAUACACAGCAUCAUUGGCAUAAGAGCAUAGAUGAUAAUGUUGGG